rnacentral:lncRNA from 1 species
GUAUGAUCGUCUAAAAUUCGGUAUUGAUUAUAGAAUCUACAUAUUAACGAUUCAUAUCGUUAAAUAUUAUCAAAAGUAUUUAAAAUUUUAAAAAAAUCAAAUUUUAUAAUCUUUUGAUAUUAUUUAUCUUAUGAGCAAAAGAUUUUAAAAUUAAUAAUUUUUAACGAUCGGUAUAAAAUACUUGCUAGUUUAAUAGUAUAAAAAAAUCGAAAUCGAUUAAAUUUUUGAUAGAAAAUUCUAUUCACUAUCUAGAUGGAGAUCAAUAACUCUGAUCUUAAAUUGAAGGAUCCCAUCACCCUUUUUGAGGACGUCGUUCGAUUUUGACCGUUCAUAUUAUGCAUGCUUGAUGGACUUUAUUAUGAUUUCAAAAAAUUAUAAAAUUUAGUUUUUAAAAAUUUCAAAUACUCUAAAUUAUAUUUAAUGGAGUAGAUCAUUAAUUCGGAAGCUCUAUCGUCGAAAAUAACUUAUAAGUACGAAUUGCUCAAUAUUUAUAAAAAUAUAGUAGCCAUAUUCUAUACUUACAUCAUAUUAUUACUAAAAAGUUAAUUACAUUUUUUUAAAAAAAAUAUAAUAAAAAUAUAUUUUUAGAGACGCCAAAUCACCAAUAUAACCAGUAGACGCUACUCAUGCCCACUCCUUACAAAAUUGGUAAAUUACACUUCAACCCCCUGAACAUAGAAACUCAGCCUGUAUAGUUAUCUUUAAAUUUUUAUUAAAUUUAAUAAUUAAAGUUUAAUACUUUCUACAUUUUGGCCUUUUGGUAUGUUUUAGAAAUAAUUUUAUAACUGAUUCUAUCCAUUUUUUAUAAUUAUAAAAAUAAUUUUUUUAAAAAAGUAAUUAUGAAAAUAGACCUUUAAUAUGCGAGAUUGAAUUUUUCAAAAAAUAAUUAGUAUAAAGAUGAAUGAGUCACCGCAUUUAAACGUUGCGAAUUAUUCACUGCAUUCAUAAUUUCUUAAACCAACACAAUUAUUUUUAAAUGCAGUAAACCGUUUACUGUCUUUAUUAUAUUAUCUAUCGCUGUUUUUAAAAACGAUGAACCAUUCAACGCUUUUAUGCGCAUUUCUUUCUUUCUCCACCAUGCUGAUAUCUAUAUGGCAAAACGAAAACUAUAUUUACAAAUAAAAAUUUUAUUAAUUUAAUUUUA